rnacentral:misc_RNA from 1 species
AAGUCGUAACAAGGUUUCCGUAGGGGAACCUGCGGAAGGAUCAUUAUUGAGUAUAUACAAAGCUCUUAUGAGCUACUCACACACAAGUCAACAAGUCGGAGUGUCGCAUGUAACUUGUUGCAAGCUCACCUGGUUUUAUACCUGACUUGGUGGUCUUUGACCACCGUAAGCGACACUAAAGUCAGUAUAAACCAUUACUGAUAUACCUGUAAGGGGGUCUCUUGUACUACUCAUAGCGGUAUUCAGUAAACCUAGUACUUGUAAGGAGAUUGAUUUGUUCAAUCAUCCACAGCAGUACUACUAGCCUUUGCGCUAUUUUCUUCUUUGUGCCUACUAAGUAAACAAAAAAAACACACCACUGCAAGCGGUGGAUCACUCGGCUC